CCGUUAUCCGGAUCGAGGACAGUGUAUGGUGGGUAGUUUGACUGGGGCGGUCUCCUCCCAAAGAGUAACGGAGGAGCACGAAGGUUGGCUAAGUACGGUCGGACAUCGUACGGUUAGUGUAAUGGUAGAAGCCAGCUUAACUGCGAGACAGACACGUCGAGCAGGUACGAAAGUAGGUCUUAGUGAUCCGGUGGUUCUGUAUGGAAGGGCCAUCGCUCAACGGAUAAAAGGUACUCCGGGGAUAACAGGCUGAUACCGCCCAAGAGUUCAUAUCGACGGCGGUGUUUGGCACCUCGAUGUCGGCUCAUC
rnacentral:rRNA from 13 species